CCCGGUGCAGGGAAGAAGCCAGGCAGAGGGGGAAACGAACGGGGCCAGCGUAGCAGCAACGGCCCUGAAACUACAGGGGUACCUAGCUACCCCCUUGCACAGGGGGGAAACCAGGAGGAGACCUCGCCGACGGAGGCGACGGAAAAAGAAGCGACGGAGGUGCGGCACAAUUUCGGUAGCAGGGUGGACAGAGGAACGGAACGUGUCUGGAGCGGCUUGGCGCUUUGAACGAAGGUACCAUACCGAAGAAGACGAAGAACUCUGAUUACCAUCUUUCCCCCCCUCGUGUACAAGUUCAAUCCUCGCCCCUAACGCAGUUUGAUAACUCACGGUUCUGUAGUGCUCCAGUUUCUCGUUGUUUUAUUUUCCGUUCUAUCGACGAGUCCAGUGUGAUAAGAAGGGAGAAUCAAAUUCAAAUGAUACGCAAGUGGAAUUAAUACGGUGAUGGUGGUGUGAUAUAAGAAAAGAGUGUGCGCGCGCGCGUGUUGUCCGAGAGUGUGGCAGUCAAGGUCUAGAGAAGGUGAUAUAUAUAUAUUAUAUAUGUAAAAAUAAUAUAAAUAAUAUAUCCAAAUGUAAGGACCAGUGUGCAAGUGUGUCCGUACGCAGAUAGAGUACAAAACAAAACGAACGAAUAUAUAAAAAGCGAAAAGAUAUACUCCGGUGGAAAGGGAGAAGAAGAGGCCGGGGAGGAGGCGGAAGAGUAAGUGUAAAGUAAAUAGGUGGCGAAGAAGCAUCGAAGAUAAAGAGAAAAAAGACGAAGAGUGAGAGCACGCUAAAAGACCGAGGGUGGCAUUAGCAGGUGGGCCAGGUGGGACAAGUAGCAUGAGUUCGUACUUCGCGAAUUCGUACAUCCCGGACCUGCGUAAUGGCGGGGUGGAACACCCGCAUCAGCAUCAGCAGCACUACGGUGCCGCCGUCCAGGUGCCCCAGCAAACGCAGUCUGUUCAACAACAGUCCCAGCAAGCCGGGGACCCUUGCGACCCCAGCCUCCUGCGUCAAGGAGUACCUGGCCAUCAUUAUGGGGCAGCGGGCACCCAACAAGAUAUGCCUUAUCCGAGGUUUCCUCCGUACAAUCGGAUGGACAUGCGAAACGCGACCUAUUAUCAGCAUCAACAGGAGCACGGCAGCAUGGACGGGAUGGGUGGUUACAGGUCGACGUCCCCCAGCCCCGGUAUGGGCCACAUGGGACACACACCGACCCCGAACGGACAUCCGUCCACUCCUAUUGUCUACGCGAGUUGCAAGCUUCAAGCGGCCGCGGUCGAUCAUCAGGGUAGCGUGCUCGAUGGACCGGACAGCCCGCCUCUCGUCGAACCCCAGAUGCACCAUCAGAUGCACUCGCAACAUCCUCACAUGCAGCCACAGCAAACGCAGCACCAACAGCAACCGCAACAGCACCAACAUCUUCAGGCACAGCAGCAGCACAUGAUGUAUCAGCAGCAACAACAGACGCAGGCGGCGUCCCAGCAAUCCCAGCCAGGCAUACAUCCGCAGCAACAGCCGCAAGCUCAGCAACAUCAAGGGGUGGUCACGUCGCCGCUUAGUCAGCAACAACAGGGCACUCCUCAAGGCGCGGCCAGUGCCAACCUACCGAGCCCGCUCUACCCGUGGAUGAGAAGUCAAUUCGGUGCAUCCAGGUUGUUGAAGAUGAGGAACGAGGUGAAACAAGGCGGCCGGAAGAGCAAGGAAGAAGAAGGAAAGAGAGGCAGAGAGAACUAGUUGGCAGGUUAGAGAGAGGGCUCGGUGGGAGGAUGGCGGUCAGAAUUUAUGGCCGCUUUAUCACUUUACCGGCCUUGCCGCGUCUCCUUUAGCCACGAGGAGGGCAGGAUCUCACGAUGAACUUUGCCACUCGACGAACGGUGAUGUACCAAGUAGCAACUUUCCAAACAUCGGCAAAUCCUGGCAACAUUCUGGCAUCGUGCAUCAACACUGUGACCGAACAUCUAAUGAUUAGGGGUGGGACCAAGACUAGACCAUGUGCUUUAAGUUUGAACAAUCUGCAGACUAUCAUUUUUCAAGGAAAGUGAUUAAGGGUGUGGCCAUAGUGUUGUUUGCCAAAAUUGACAAUGAAAUGACACUAAAUUCUGAUACAGUGCUGGAAGAAGUGAAAAAAUCUACACAAAGUAGAAUAUUCUGUAUAAAUUACAAAAUGAAUUAAAUACAACUCUUAAAAGUCGAAACAGGUUAUACUGCUUUCAUCGGAUAAAUCAUACUAAUUAUUGCUUCGAAAUGCUCUAAAAAGUGCAAUUUUAUCAUUCCAUUUGAGCUGUUCUUAUUUGUAAGUUUAAAAGAAUAGUUAUCAUUUCGCGAUAAUUAAAACCGUAUAAUUUCUUGGAACACACGAGCAACAAAUAUAUUAUUAAUGCGGCAAUUAAUUAGAUACAUCAGAUAAGAUAUUUAAAUUAAGAACAGUUUAAUUCCGAAUAAUAAUCUGCAUCGUACUACGUCAUUAUCGAGUACAGACAAAAGGAAUAUUAUCAUAAAGUAAAUUUAAUUAAAUCGAACUUGUAAUUCGAUUAAUUUAAUGACCAGUUAAUU
rnacentral:misc_RNA from 1 species